rnacentral:rRNA from 1 species
UACAGAGGUCUCAACCGUUGUUCGGAUUCAUUGGGCGUAAAGGGUGCGUAGGCGGCGGGGCAAGUCAGGUGUGAAAUCUUGGAGCUUAACUCCGAAACUGCAUUCGAUACUGCCGUGCUUGAGGACUGGAGAGGAGACUGGAAUUUACGGUGUAGCGGUGAAAUGCGUAGAUAUCGUAAGGAAGACCAGUGGCGAAGGCGGGUCUCUGGACAGUUCCUGACGCUGAGGCACGAAGGCCAGGGGAGCAAACGGG